GGCUGGAUAGCUCAGUUGGUAGAGCACCGGAACUGCAAUCCGGAGGUCGCAGGUUCAAACCCUGCUCUCCAGUCA